rnacentral:lncRNA from 1 species
AUGGAAACUUCCAGCCCCACAGGAGAUUCCAGCCCCACAAGAGGUUCCAGCCCCACAGGAGGUUCCAGCCCCAUAGAAAUGUCCAGUCGCAUGGAAACUUCCAACCCCAUAGAAAAUUCCAGCCCCAUCCCAGUGCAAUCCCAGCCCCACAUCCCAACCCUGACCCCACACCCCAAUCCCUGCCCCACAUUCCAAAUCCCAGCCCCACACCCCAAGCCCACACCCCAAAUCCCGGCCUCACACCCCAAUCCCAGACCCCAAUCCCAGCCCCACACCCCAAUCCCUGCCCCACACCCCAAUCCCUCUCCCGGUCCCCAUCCCUGUCCCCGCUCACCUGGGCAGGUUCUGGACUUUGGGGUCCUCCCUCCCCUGGCCCCGUUUUUAUCCCCCCGCAGCCCCCGCCCCCCCCCCGGGCAAACACUGCGGGGCCGAGGGGCAGCGCGGGGGGGCCCGUGUCCCCUCCCCGGGACUGUCCCCGUGUCCCCUCCCCGGGACUGUCCCCGUGUCCCCAAGGGCCACCAGGGGCCGGGGGGGCCCCGCGGGGCGAAGGUUGUCACCCGCAGUGUCACCGACCCUCGGACCCCUGCCCGGGUGGGGGGGGGGGGACCACACAGUGGGGACCCCCCGGGCUGGGGCCAGCGCUGGGGACACGGGGACAAAGGGCAGUGGUGGCGCUGGCGACAAAAGGUCGGAGUCCCCCCGGUCAGCGGCGGGGAUGGGGACAGGGAUGAGGGACGUGGGGACAGGGCAGGGGACGAGGAGGGGCUGGCGACAGAGAUGGCGCGGGGAGGGGACAGCGGGCUGAGGGGAUGGCGACAGAGGGGACACGGCGGGGACACAGCGUGGGGACAGGGAUGUGGGGAGGGGACAUUGUGGGGUUCCAGAGAUUCGGGGACACUGAGGAGGUGUCGGCACAGAGCCGGGACGCCCCAGGCACGGAGGAGGGACACGACGGCGACAUGGGACACACGGCGGGGACAGGGGGCGGGCGGUGGGGGAGGUGGCACGGGAGGGAACAGGGUCUGGGGGGAGACCAGGGAUGCGGGGAGGGCGCACGGGGGGACACGGAGGUCACAGGACACGCGGGGGACACGCGGGGAUUUGGGGACACGCGCGGGUCUGGGGACACGCGGGGGUUUGGGGACACGCGGGUUUGGGGACACGCACGGGUUUGGGGACACGCGCGGGGACAGGAGGGUGGCGCGGAACGCGCCCGCCACGGAACGUCUCCGCUGGUGCCCGGCGGGUCCGGAGGGGUCGCAUUCCGGCGCGGCCCCGCCCUCCUCUCCCAGCCAAUGA